AGCAGCCGCGGUAAUUCCAGCUCCAAUAGCGUAUAUUAAAGUUGUUGCGGUUAAAAAGCUCGUAGUUGGAUUUCUGUUCCAGACUGGCGGUCCACCGCUCGGUGGUUACUGUCAGGCCUGAACAUCCGGUCGGUUCAAUCAAUUUCCCGCGGUGCUCUUCGUUGAGUGUCUCGGGAGGCCGACAAGUUUACUUUGAAAAAAUUAGAGUGCUCAAAGCAGGCGGUCAGCCUGAAUAAUGGUGCAUGGAAUGAUGGAAUAGGACCUCGGUUCUAUUUUGUUGGUUUUCGCAACUCGAGGUAAUGAUUAAGAGGGACAGACGGGGGCAUUCGUAUUGCGACGCUAGAGGUGAAAUUCUUGGACCGUCGCAAGACGAACUACUGCGAAAGCAUUUGCCAAGAAUGUUUUCAUUAAUCAAGAACGAAAGUUAGAGGUUCGAAGGCGAUCAGAUACCGCCCUAGUUCUAACCAUAAACGAUGCCAACCAGCGAUCCGCCGGAGUUCCUUCUAUGACUCGGCGGGCAGCUUCCGGGAAACCAAAGUCUUUGGGUUCCGGGGGAAGUAUGGUUGCAAAGCUGAAACUUAAAGGA
rnacentral:rRNA from 1 species